rnacentral:tRNA from 1 species
CUCCCGGUAGCCAAGUUGGUUUAAGGCGCAAGACUGUAAAUCUUGAGAUCGGGCGUUCGAUUCGCCCCUGGGAGA